rnacentral:rRNA from 1 species
AGUGAACGCUGGCGGUAGGCCUAACACAUGCAAGUCGAACGGCAGCACAGUAAGAGCUUGCUCUUACGGGUGGCGAGUGGCGGACGGGUGAGGAAUACAUCGGAAUCUACUUUUUCGUGGGGGAUAACGGAGGGAAACUUACGCUAAUACCGCAUACGACCUACGGGUGAAAGCAGGGGAUCUUCGGACCUUGCGCGAUUGAAUGAGCCGAUGUCGGAUUAGCUAGUUGGCGGGGUAAAGGCCCACCAAGGCGACGAUCCGUAGCUGGUCUGAGAGGAUGAUCGGCCACACUGGAACUGAGACACGGUCCAGACUCCUACGGGAGGCAGCAGUGGGGAAUAUUGGACAAAGGGCGCAAGCCUGAUCCAGCCAUACCGCGUGAGUGAAGAAGGCCUUCGGGUUGUAAAGCCCUUUUGUUGGGAAAGAAAAGCAGCAGGUUAAUACCCCGCUGUUCUGACGGUACCCAAAGAAUAAGCACCGGCUAACUUCGUG